AUUGAACGCUAGCGGGAGGCCUUACACAUGCAAGUCGAACGGAGCGGCGAACGGGUGAGUAAUGUAUCGGAACGUGCCCAGUAGUGGGGGAUAACUACCCGAAAGGGUAGCUAAUACCGCAUACUAUCGGAGCGGCCGAUAUCGGAUUAGCUAGUUGGUGGGGUAACGGCCUACCAAGGCGACGAUCCGUAACUGGUUUGAGAGGAGGACCAGCCACACUGGGACUGAGACACGGCCCAGACUCCUACGGGAGGCAGCAGUGGGGAAUAUUGGACAAUGGGGGAAACCCUGAUCCAGCCAUCCCGCGUGUGCGAUGAAGGCCUUCGGGUUGUAAAGCACUUUUGGCAGGGAGGCGGUACCUGCAGAAUAAGCACCGGCUAACUACGUGCCAGCAGCCGCGGUAAUAC
rnacentral:rRNA from 1 species